GAAUUAAAUGCAGUCAUGAAAAUUGGAAUGAAGCAGAGAAGAUUAGCAUGGCCCCUGUGCAAGGAUGACACGCAAAUUCAUGAAACGUUUCAUAUUUUU
rnacentral:snRNA from 1 species